GUGGCCUAGUGGUAGAGUGUCCGCCCUGAGGCUGGAAGGUUGUGGGUUCAAACCCCGGCCGGGUCAUACCAAAGACUAUAAAAAUGGGACCCAUUGCCUCCCUGCUUGGCACUCAGCAUUAAGGGUUGGAAUUGGGGGGUUAGAUCACCAACUGAUUCCCGAGCGCGGCACCGCUGCUGCUCACUGCUCCCCUCUCCCCCAGGGGAUGGAUUAAAAUCACACGGGGAUGGGUUAAAUGCAGAGGACAAAUUUCACCACACCCAGGUGUGUGUGUGACGAUCAUUGGGACUUUAAUCUUUAAUCUUUAAUUGCAAAGAAACAAUUGGCUGAGGAGCAGUUUUAUAGCAGAUUUUUGUUGUUGUAUUGCGAUAGCGUAUUGCUAAUGCUAAUCUGUUGAUUGUGUCGCGAGAGAGAGAGAGAGAGAGAGAGAGAGAGAGAGAGAGAGAGAGAGAGAGAGAGAGAGAGAGAGAGAGAGUGAGUGUGUGUGUGUGUCUCAGUAAAGAUAUCUGUCACACUCUCAUUUCACCUGAGUAAGGUCCCUUAGGGCAUCAUGUUGCCUUAGCCUAGAUCUACAUUUCAACAACUAGUACUAAUUUGUCAUUUUCAUUACAGGAUCAAAGAGAAAUUAAGGUCCUCACAUGGCGCGAAACCAACUUUUUCCAUGUCAAACUUGGACAGCGGCUGUCCAUGACACACAUGACAACAUCAUCUUCUAGUGGCGUAGAGCUCCACUCCACAGAAAAUACUGUAAUAAAGAGACCACCCUCAGAGGCCGGCCUCUUCGACUUGCAACCAGAGAUGCUGGCGUGGCUCCACGACACCAAGUUGGAACACUGACGUUACACGUGAGAGACAGACGGAGAGAGAGAGAGAGAGAGGCAACGUCAUCCGCCGAAUUAGGUGACCCAGUUUAUUAUUUUGUUUAUAGCAAAUACAGUCGCAAAUAUAUUGUUUCAAUGUGUAGUUAAUGGUAUUAAUGUAUAAUAUAUGAUUUUAAUCUAUUUUAAUCUAUAGUAAUGGUAUUUUACCCAUGCCUUAUUUUGGGAUAUUUGUAACUUCUGCUGUCUUUAUCUUAGUAUUCUGGAAUACUAUGGUUUAUUUCGAAAAUGUUUCUCAGAUGUCGCAUGUUUUCCCAUUCUAGAUUGAUAGAUAGAAUUUACGGUAGCGUUCUUUGGCCUGCUGUCCAAAGAACAUAGAAAACAAUACGGAAUGCGAUCAUCUCAUGUGCGGUGGCACCACAAAGUAGAUUGCAGAAGUUAACUCAGCAGCAUGGACGCGUUCCAGGCAGUUACUGCGACCGCAAGAGGGUAAGUAUUACUAAAAAGAAGCACACAAGUUUCAAACUUGCCGAGUGGACAGUGAAGCAGAAAAUAGAUUUGUCAAAAAGUGUGAGGAAAAUAUGCACUGUCUGCCGACUCACAUUUUCCAUAGUCCAUGUGGAACUGACUCACCUUAAGCAACACGGUGGACACGAACGAAAAAACGCACAACUAAGCAAGGGGAAACCUGGACAGAUCCAUUAGGCAACGACAAAGAUGGUACGUAAAUAUUUUUUUAAACCCUCUCAAGGUUAAUAUGAGAAUGUACAAUGGAUGUCUAUCGUAUAGAAAAAGCUAUAUUAGCUUUUGGGUGUAAUAAACGACCAGGUAAAUGGAUAGAUAAUACAUAAAAACCAUUUGUUUGCAUACAUUGAUAAAUAAAAGAUCAACAUUAUGUGGCACUUGCCUCCCCAGAACUUUUGGUUUAUAGGAGGUUUUUUUUUUUUCUAUGGAAGAAACCCAUGCGCCCAAGUGCAAUAUGUAUUUUCGCCAGUAGAGGACGCUGAAAAUAAAUGUUGCACAGCGGAUGAGCUGUCUUCAUCAUUUCUGUCUGUAACAAUUGCACACACAGCCUUACAUUUGUAACUAGUUUUAAGAGAUGUGCAUAUUUUUUCAUUGGACAUGCAAUGUAAUUCUGUCAACUUUUAAAUAAACUGUUAUUUUAUUUUUAAUGUGGAUAGAGGAUUUAUUUUUGGUGUUUCCGAUUUUACUGCAGAUUAUCCAGACAUCCCCAACGUCAAAGCAGCAGUAUUUUUGUCCUCAGCAUCCUUAUUUUCCACAAAGGUUUCCACAUUUUUCAACCGAUUCAACACAUUCCAACUUUCAACUGUUCAUCUUUUGCCUACCUAUUCCACAACUUCCCACUUACCAAAUAUUCCAAACUUUCAAUUUUGAAAUUCACCACAAAUUCUCCAAAUAUUCUACAUCUCUCAAGUAAUUCAACACGUUUCAACAUCGCUCGGCAGCAUUGCCCGAAAAAGUUAUUCAUACAUUUCGCCUUCACACGCAAUUUCUCCAGAAAUUGCAAAAUUCUAGUUUGUUGUGUUAUCUGUUUAUUUAUUAUUUAUUAUUACUCUUAUUAUUUAUUGUUUGUGCCUUUUUGUUUAUGAUGUUUUUAACUUUUGCGCUAUGCUUGCUGGCUCCGUUUUGCUCCUCUUAUUUAUUGUGUUAUCUGUUUAUUUAUUAUUUAUUCAUCACUCUUACUAUUGAUUGUUUGAAUUUCUGCCUUGUUUUUAUAUUGUGUCGCGUACUUGUAUGUCUAUCGUGUUAUGUGUCUCGUCACCAUGGGAUAGAGAAAAACGUAAUUUUGGUCUCUUUGUGUGUUGUGACAUGUGGAGAGAUUGACAAUAAAGCUGACUUUGACUUUUGA